CUGCAACUCGACCCCAUGAAGUCGGAAUCGCUAGUAAUCGCGUAACAGCAUGACGCGGUGAAUACGUUCCCGGGCCUUGUACACACCGCCCGUCACACCAUGGGAGUGGGUUGCACCAGAAGUAGCUAGUCUAACCCUCGGGAGGACGGUUACCACGGUGUGAUUCAUGACUGGGGUGAAGUCGUAACAAGGUAGCCGUAGGGGAACCUGCGGCUGGAUCACCUCCUU
rnacentral:rRNA from 1 species